rnacentral:hammerhead_ribozyme from 1 species
AUCCGGCUGAUGGGCCCCAAAUUGGACGGAACGCGCGUCCUGGAU